rnacentral:rRNA from 1 species
AUCGGAACGUACCGUGUAGUGGGGAUAACGUAGCGAAAGUUACGCUAAUACCGCAUACGAUCCACGGAUGAAGCAGGGACCUUCGGGCCUUGUGCUAUACGAGCGGCCGAUGUCUGAUUAGCUAGUUGGUGGGUAAAGGCCCACCAAGGCAACGAUCAGUAGCGGGUCUGAGAGGAUGAUCCGCCACACUGGGACUGAGACACGGCCCAGACUCCUACGGGAGGCAGCAGUGGGGAAUUUUUGGACAAUGGGCGCAAGCCUGAUCCAGCCAUGCCGCGUGUCUGAAGAAGGCCUUCGGGUUGUAAAGGACUUUUGUCAGGGAGCAAAACCCAGCAGCUAAUAUCUGUUGGGGAUGAGAGUACCUGAAGAAUAAGCACCGGCUAACUACGUG